AGGCUGGUGUCCUGUGGGUUGUGCCUGGCUGGGAUAGGUUGGUGUCCUGUGGUUCGUGUCUGGCUGGGAGAGGCGGGUGUCCUGUAGGUUGUGUCUGGCAUCCUGUAGGUUGUGUCUGGCUGGGAGAGGAUGGUGUCCUGUGGGUUGUGUCUGGCUGGGAGAGGCUGAUGUCCUGUGGGUUGUGUCUGGCUGGGAGAGGCUGGUGUCAUGUGGGUUGUGUCUGGCUGGGAGAUGUGGGUGACCUGUAGGGUGUGUCUGGUGUCCUGUAGGUUGUGUCUGGCUGGGAUAGGCUGGUGUCCUGUGGGUUGUGUCUGGCGUCCUGUAGGUUGUGUCUGGCUGGGAGAGGCUGGUGUCCUGUGGGUUGUGUCUGGAUGGGAGAGGCUGGUGUCCUGUGGGUUGUGUCUGGCUGGGAGAGGCUGGUGUCCUGUGGGUUGUGUCUGGCUGGGAUAGGCUGGUGUCCUGUGGGUUGUGUCUGGUGUCCUGUAGGUUUUGUCUGGCUAGGAGAGGCUGAUGUCCUGUAGGUUGUGUCUGGCUGGGAGAGGCUGGUGUCCUGUGGGUUGUGUCUGGCUGGGAGAGGCUGGUGUCCUGUGGGUUGUGUCUGGCUGGGAUAGGCUGGUGUCCUGUGGGUUGUGUCUGGCGUCCUGUAGGUUGUGUCUGGCUGGGAUAGGCUGGUGUCCUGUGGGUUGUGUCUGGCGUCCUGUAGGUUGUGUCUGGCUGGGAGAGGCUGAUGUCCUGUGGGUUGUGUCUGGCUGGGAGAUGUGGGUGACCUGUAGGGUGUGUCUGGUGUCCUGUAGGUUGUGUCUGGCUGGGAUAG
ensembl:lncRNA